CAGUAGCCGCGGUAAUACGUAGGUGGCGAGCGUUGUCCGGAAUUAUUGGGCGUAAAGCGCGCGCAGGUGGUCUAAUAAGUCUGAUGUGAAAGCCCACGGCUCAACCGUGGAGGGUCAUUGGAAACUGUUAAACUUGAGUGCAGGAGAGAAAAGUGGAAUUCCACGUGUAGCGGUGAAAUGCGUAGAGAUUAGGAGGAACACCAGUGGCGAAGGCGGCUUUUUGGCCUGUAACUGACACUGAGGCGCGAAAGCGUGGGGAGCAAACAGGAUUAGAUACCCCGGUAGUCCCUGUCUCUUAUAA
rnacentral:rRNA from 1 species